rfam:Salmo salar isolate Sally breed double haploid chromosome ssa11, whole genome shotgun sequence.
CUGCGAUAAACAUUCAUUGCUGUCGGUGGGUUUGAUGUGAAUAUAACUCACUGAUCAAUGAAUGAACACCGCGG